rnacentral:rRNA from 1 species
CCUACGGGAGGCAGCAGUGGGGAAUAUUGCACAAUGGGGGAAACCCUGAUGCAGCGACGCCGCGUGAGUGAAGAAGUAUCUCGGUACGUAAAGCUCUAUCAUCAGGGAAGAAAAUGACGGUACCUGACUAAGAAGCCCCGGCUAACUACGUGCCAGCAGCCGCGGUAAUACGUAGGGGGCAAGCGUUAUCCGGAUUUACUGGGUGUAAAGGGAGCGUAGACGGGUGCACAAGUCUGUAGUGAAAUCCCGGGGCUUAACCCCAGAACUGCUUUGGAAACUGUGAGGCUGGAGUGCAGGAGGGGUAAGCGGAAUUCGUGGUGUAGCGGUGAAAUGCGUAGAUAUUAGGAGGAACACCGGUGGCGAAGGCGGCUUACUGGACUGUAACUGACGUUGAGGCUCGAAAGCGUGGGGAGCAAACAGGAUUAGAUACCCCUGUAGUC